CGCGUAGGCGGCCUGGUAAGUCUGGAGUGAAAGUCCUUCUUUCAAGGAGGGAAUUGCUUUGGAUACUGCUGGGCUUGAGUGCAGGAGAGGUAAGUGGAAUUCCCAGUGUAGCGGUGAAAUGCGUAGAGAUUGGGAGGAACACCAGUGGCGAAGGCGACUUACUGGACUGUAACUGACGCUGAGGCGCGAAAGUGUGGGGAGCAAACA
rnacentral:rRNA from 1 species